AUUGAACGCUGGCGGCAUGCCUUACACAUGCAAGUCGAACGGUAACAGGUUAAGCUGACGAGUGGCGAACGGGUGAGUAAUGUAUCGGAACGUGCCCAGUCGUGGGGGAUAACUACUCGAAAGAGUGGCUAAUACCGCAUACGACCUGAGGGUGAAAGCGGGGGACCGUAAGGCCUCGCGCGAUUGGAGCGGCCGAUAUCAGAUUAGCUAGUUGGGGGGGUAAAAGCCCACCAAGGCGACGAUCUGGAGCUGGUCUGGGAGGACGAACAGGCACACUGGGACUGAGACACGGCACAGACUCCUACGGGAGGCAGCAGUGGGGAAUAUUGGACAAUGGGCGCAAGCCUGAUCCAGCCAUGCCGCGUGUGUGAAGAAGGCCUUCGGGUUGUAAAGCACUUUCAGCGAGGAGGAAGGGUGGUGUGUUAAUAGCACAUCAUUUUGACGUUACUCGCAGAAGAAGCACCGGCUAACUCUGUGCCAGCAGCCGCCGUAACAC
rnacentral:rRNA from 1 species